UUUUUUUUUUUUUUUGCACAGAUGGUUUUCAAGCUGGCAGAGAUAUACGAAGCAAGGCGUGACUGAAUCUUUGGUUGAUGAGCAGUCUUCUGGAUCUCAAAAUAUGGAUGUUAUUACUUUAAAGAGUGCAAAUAGACCCGGGUAGAUUGAUAAUUCUUAUAUAGUUCUAAAUAACAAAGAUAGUGAUGGUGAUGAACUAGAGCUUCGUAGAAUGUUGGAGGAAGGACGUGACUAUGUUCUAGUUUCCCAACAAGUUUGGGAAAGCCUAUUGUCUUGGUAUAUUUAUAUAUUUCUCUUCCUUUUUUUUUGGCCCCUAUUUUCUUUAUGGUGUGUAUUUUUUUUGUCAUAUAUUAUCUUUGUUGUUACAUAUAUAUUUAGCUAAUCUGUUACUUUAUGUUGGUCUAAGGUAGUUUAAUCAGGGAGCCCCCUUUUUUGUGAUCUUUUUGGGGUUUAGUGUUGGUAGAAUGAGGUUGAUUUUUAGAGUUGCAUCAAGUAGUAAUAGGUAAUGACUGGUGUGCACCACUUAUUUUUAUUUUUUGUGCUUUAAAUCAUCAGGUACAAAGGAGGACCAGCAUUACCAAGAAAAUUGAUAUCUCAGAGUACUUUUCACAAGAAUUUUCUUGUAGAGGUUUACCCGCUUUGUCUUAAGUUGAUUGAUUCUAGGGACCAAAACCAAUCAGUAUCAGUAUUAAGAUUAAGCAAAAAGGCCUCUACAAGGGAGCUUUAUGAGAGGGUGUGUAGCCUUCGUGGAGUAGAAAAAGAAAAGGUACUUAUUUGGGACUAUUUCAAUAAACGGCGAACUCAAGGCUGAGUAACUCAAACCAAACUUUGGAGGAGGCAAACUUGCAGAUGGAUCAAGAAAUUCUUCUUGAGGUGCAAGAUGUAAAUAAUGCUUCUCCAUUCGGCAAGGAUUCAACAGGAAAUGAGUUGGCUUUGGUAUCUAUAGAACCAUCCAGGUCUUCAGUUACAAUUGCUGGGGGGCCUACAAUGUCAAAUGGCCAUUCAACUGGAUAUAGCUCUAAUUUAUAUCAGGGAAAUGCUGUAAGUUUGUCAUUCUCAGAUAUUGAUGAUGGAUAUGAUGUUUU